UAUUGGUCUCUAUGCUUUUAC
ensembl:piRNA 21ur-3009 ncRNA